CAUAAAUCUAUGUAUAAUCAUAUAAUAAUGCUUUAGGUGUGUUUGAUUUCAAGUCUAGCUGCAUAAAUAUGCGUGUCUGAUUUCAAUUGUUGCCCGAUGGAUUCACUUUACUGGAAAUUAGGCUCAUGUUUCUCAAGAGGAUAUCAAUGCAUUGUGUUAGGAUGAAUCAACACAUGCCAAUGUUAUAUGUACAAUUGUACACAUAUAAGUCAAAUAUUGGUGCCAAAAACAUGCAAUUGUUAUGCAUGAUGCACACACGUGACUAAAAUCUCUAGAAGAGAACCCAUGGUUCGCGUUACAG